CCCUUAGAUGUUCUGGGCUGCACGCGCGCUACACUGAAGCGUUCAACGACUAUUCACCUUGCCCGGGAGGGUUGGGUAAUCUUUUGAAAACGCUUCGUGAUGGGGAUAGAUUAUUGCAAUUAUUAAUCUUCAACGAGGAAUUCCUAGUAAGCGCAAAUCAUCAAUUUGCAUUGAUUACGUCCCUGCCCUUUGUGCACACCGCCCGUCGCACCUACCGAUUGAAUGGUCCGGUGAAGCCUCGGGAUUGUGGCCAGUUCACUUUAUUGGGAGUUGGCUGUGAGAACUUGUCUAAACCUUAUCAUUUAGAGGAAGGUGAAGUCGUAACA
rnacentral:rRNA from 1 species